AUGAUAUUCGUUCCAGUUAACAUUGAAGAGUUUCAUUGGUACCUAGCAGUUAUAAAUACCGAGAAGCGAUGUAUCCAGGUGCUUGACUUGGUAGGCCCAGGAAUGAACCGCAACGACCUCACUGCUAUGCUAAAAGGACUGGAAAAUGUAUUCCAAUAUGCUAAUCUUCAAAUGGAACUAAAAUCUGAUAAGUGGAAAGACUUAAACAUCAGUGCAUGA
rnacentral:rRNA from 1 species